UCUCCGUUGGUGAACCAGCGGAGGGAUCAUUACAGGACUCGCAAGACUCCUUCACCCUGUGAACCUCACUACAAGCACGUUGCUUCGGCGGGUGUCCCGGCGGGGGUUUUCCCUCGCCGGGGCGCACAGCCCGCCGGCAGCCUACUAUACUCUGUCUCUUUGCGUUGGCAUCUCGAGAAACAACAAACAAGUUAAAACUUUCAACAACGGAUCUCUUGGUUCUG
rnacentral:misc_RNA from 1 species